AUUGAACGCUGGCGGCAUGCCUUACACACGCAAGUCGAACGGCAGCACGGGGGCAACCCUGGUGGCGAGUGGCGAACGGGUGAGUAAUGCAUCGGAACGUGCCCAGUAGUGGGGGAUAACUAGUCGAAAGAUUAGCUAAUACCGCAUACGACCUAUGGGUGAAAGCGGGGGAUUCGCAAGAACCUCGCGCUAUCGGAGCGGCCGAUGUCUGAUUAGCUAGUUGGCGGGGAAAGGCCCACCAAGGCUUCGAUCAGUAGCUGGUCUGAGAGGACGACCAGCCACACUGGGACUGAGACACGGCCCAGACUCCUACGGGAGGCAGCAGUGGGGAAUUUUGGACAAUGGGCGCAAGCCUGAUCCAGCCAUGCCGCGUGCGGGAAGAAGGCCU
rnacentral:rRNA from 1 species